AUUGAACGCUGGCGGCAGGCUUAACACAUGCAAGUCGAGCGGGGUGAUGGUGCUUGCACUAUCACUUAGCGGCGGACGGGUGAGUAAUGCUUAGGAAUCUGCCUAUUAGUGGGGGACAACAUCUCGAAAGGGAUGCUAAUACCGCAUACGUCCUACGGGAGAAAGCAGGGGAUCACUUGUGACCUUGCGCUAAUAGAUGAGCCUAAGUCGGAUUAGCUAGUUGGUGGGGUAAAGGCCUACCAAGGCGACGAUCUGUAGCGGGUCUGAGAGGAGGACCCGCCACACUGGGACUGGGACACGGCCCAGACUCCUACGGGAGGCAGCAGUGGGGAAUAUUGGACAAUGGGGGGAACCCUGAUCCAGCCAUGCCGCGUGUGUGAAGAAGGCCUUAUGGUUGUAAAGCACUUUAAGCGAGGAGGAGGCUCUUUUGGUUAAUACCCAGGAUGAGUGGACGUUACUCGCAGAAUAAGCACCGGCUAACUCUGUGCCAGCCGCCGCGGUAA
rnacentral:rRNA from 1 species